rnacentral:rRNA from 1 species
UGCCAGCCGCCGCGGUAAUACGGAGGGUGCAAGCGUUGUUCGGAAUUACCGGGCGUAAAGCGUACGUAGGCGGUAAGUUAAGUCGAAUGUUAAAGCCAAGGGCUCAACCCUAUGGAUGCCUUCGAUACUGGCUUACUAGAGGGUGAUAGAGGAAAGUGGAAUUCCGAGUGUGGCGGUGAAAUGCGUAGAUAUUCGGAGGAACAUCAGUAGCGAAGGCGACUUUCUGGGUCACACCUGACGCUGAGGUACGAAAGCGUGGGUAGCAAAUGGGAUUAGAUA